rnacentral:rRNA from 1 species
GGUAGUCCACGCCCUAAACGAUGAUUACUCGACAUUAGCGAUACACUGUUAGUGUCUGAGCGAAAGCAUUAAGUAAUCCACCUGGGAAGUACGACCGCAAGGUUGAAACUCAAAGGAAUUGGCGGGGUCCGCACAAGCGGUGGAGCAUGUGGUUUAAUUCGAUGAUACGCGAGGAACCUUACCUGGGCUAGAAUGCAAUUUGACCGUGGGUGAAAGCCCAUUUUGUAGCAAUACACAGAUUGUAAGGUGCUGCAUGGCUGUCGUCAGCUCGUGCCCGUGAGGUGUUGGGUUAAG